UGCUUCUCAGGGUGGCACCUGGAGAGUUCCCAGUCCUCUCCCAGUCUCGACUACGGGAGGGAGAGUGAAGCAGAGGCCUAACCCAUUCCAUUCCUAGCUUGGCCAGUGGCUAGCGAGUGGAAGGCCAACUGCUACAAAU